CCUGUUUUUAUUUUGAUGAAUGGCACUUGGCAAGCAAAUUAUCCAAUGGUUAAAAAUAAAAACAUCACCAAUAGUAUGACUGAAGCCCAGUAGUUAAAAAAAGCCGAGUCCUCUUCUGGCAACAUCACCGCUACCGCUAGAGUAUGAAAAAAGUCUAUCCCAUCAUAAAGUCUGUACCAUCACAUACCCAAAAAAUAUCACGAACAGACUGAAGGAUCAAUGGUGCCAUAAACGAGUAUUUUCAAAUCUCUCACACAGUUACAUAGACACAACUGACAUAUAAAAACAAAACGACAGCGUUUAUUAUCAUAGAAAAUUCCGAAGACAAAUUUAUGAGUGGAGCAGAGUCGAAGGUGGUGUGUGUUACCGGAGCAUCCGGUUACAUAGCUUCAUGGCUGGUCAAGCUCUUGCUUCAACAUGGCUACACUGUCAAGGCCACAGUUCGUGACCCAAAUGAUCCGAAGAAGACGGAGCACUUGCUUGCACUAGAUGGAUCUUUUGAUUCUGUUGUUGACGGAUGUGAGGGCGUUUUCAUACGGCAUCUCCUUUUUAUCACAAAGUCACGGAUCCCCAGGCAGAACUAAUUGACCCAGCAUUAAGGGAACACUUAAUGUUCUUAGAUCAUGUGCCGAAGUUCAAUCUAUUAAGAGAGUGGUUAUAACAUCCUCAAUGACAGCAGUUGCAUUCAAUGGAGAACCUCUUGCUCCUGAUGUUGUAAUUGACGAGACUUGGUUUUCAAAUGCUGCUGUGUGUGAGAAAUCAAAGCUUUGGUAUAUGCUUUCAAAGACCUUAGCUGAGGAGGCUGCUUGGAAAUCUGCAAAAGAGAAUGCAAUUGACAUGGUAGCAAUAAAUCCUGGGCUGGUGAUUGGUCCUUUCUUACAGCCAACUCUUAAUUCAAGUGUGGAGGCAGUUCUAAAGCUUGUAAAUGGGGCCGAAAGAUUUCCAAAUAUAACUUACAGAUGGUUUGAUGUUAGAGAUGUUGCUAAUGCUCAUAUACUAGCCUUUGAGAAUCCAUCAGCUAGUGGAAGAUAUUGUUUAGUUGGAAGAGUUAUGCACUCUUCUGAGGUUAUGAAGAUUUUGCAUGAGCUCUUCCCUGAUCUGAAUCUUCCUGAAAAAUGUGCAGAUAACAAGCCUUUUGUGCCAAUCUACCUGGUCUCUAAGGAGAGAGCAGAAAGCUUAGGACUUAACUUUACUCCUGUGGAGGUGAGUCUAAAAGAUACUGUUGAAAGCUUGAAGGAGAAGAACUUCUUAAGCGUCUAACUCAAAGUAUUUAUCAGCAAUUCAGGCAAAUAGUUAUAAAUAAACUUGGCCUAUCCUUAAAUUUUAGCAUCUCAAACAUAAUGUUUACUAGCUCAUACUAUCCUUGGACUUAAAAGUUGUAAGCUAGUAUAAUGAUGGUAUAGAGAAUGUGUGACUGCCUUUUUAAGUAUCUAUUAUGAAGUUUCAAGCAGAUUGUGAAUAAAGCAUUGAAUUUGCUAUGCUCCACUAUU